UUUUUUUUUAAAAUGUACUCCCCAUCAGGGGCUUCCGUGGUGGCUCAGACGGUAAAGAAUCUGCCUGCAAUGCAGGAGACCCAGGUUUGAUCCCUGGGUUGGGAAGAACCCCUGGAAAAGGAAAUGGCAACCCACUCCAGUAUUCUUGCCUGGAGAAUUUCAUAGACAGAGGAGCCUGGGGGCUACAGUUCAUGGGAUCACAAAGAGUUGGACAUGACUGAGCGACUAACACACUCCCUCCUAAUAUUUUCUUCAGGACUUGUGGUUGCAAAGCCUUUGGGAGUGCCCUCUAGGUCGCUGUGAGAAAAUUUCAGACCCACUGAUUUCGGUUAGUCCUUUCAUUUUACGGAAGAGAAAACUGUGAUCUAAAACAGUCUGGUGAUUUGCCUAAAGUCACAGACCCUCAAGGGCCCAAACUGUCCACUCCAGUCCAACUAGUCCAUCAAGAGUAUCCCAAGUCAUCUUGAGGACACUGCACCUUUGGUCAAGUUAUUCACUCCACUUGGAAGCUUCUUUCUGCUCCCAUUUAUCUUACUGAUCUUCUGUUCCUUCUCUAAAAUCCUGCUUAGCGAAACAGAAAGAAUUGGCCAAUCUCAUGCCCCAGACUAGGAUCUGAAUCUUAGAGUCAACCAAGGCCUAAUCUGCUUUCCUGCUUGGCAUCCUCAGCUUUCUGCUCAGCCCUUCCCAGGUGACACGAGGCCCUUGGCUUUCUCUGAAGGCUCUUCUGGGCUCUUCCGUCAUCUCGCAAGUAGCUGGACCCGUGCCAGGAGAAUGUGACGUACAGAGAAUCAGUUUCACGUUGGCACCUUCAGUCACAAUCACAUCACUCUCGUAUCAUUUGAAUAUACCUUCUUGUGAAAGGAGAGCAUAUCUUAUGAAAAGUGCACAGAUCAUGAGCACUCGAGACCCCUGGCCUUCCUGCCUGUUACCCUCUCAAAGUGAAGACUGGUGUUACAAUGGAGCACCAAAGAUUGCUGCAAACCACCAGAAGCUAGGAGAGAUACCUGGAAGAGAUUCUUCCUCAGAACCCUCAGAAGUCCUCUGCUGACCCCUUGACUUCAGACCUCUAACCUCCAGUGUAUGAGACAAUAAAUUUCUAUUCUUUAAG
ensembl:lncRNA